CCUACGGGAGGCAGCAGUGGGGAAUAUUGCACAAUGGGCGCAAGCCUGAUGCAGCGACGCCGCGUGAGGGAUGACGGCCUUCGGGUUGUAAACCUCUUUCAGUAGGGAAGAAGCGAAAGUGACGGUACCUGCAGAAGAAGCGCCGGCUAACUACGUGCCAGCAGCCGCGGUAAUACGUAGGGCGCAAGCGUUAUCCGGAAUUAUUGGGCGUAAAGAGCUCGUAGGCGGUUUGUCGCGUCUGCCGUGAAAGUCCGGGGCUCAACUCCGGAUCUGCGGUGGGUACGGGCAGACUAGAGUGAUGUAGGGGAGACUGGAAUUCCUGGUGUAGCGGUGAAAUGCGCAGAUAUCAGGAGGAACACCGAUGGCGAAGGCAGGUCUCUGGGCAUUAACUGACGCUGAGGAGCGAAAGCAUGGGGAGCGAACAGGAUUAGAUACCCUGGUAGUCCAUGCCGUAAACGUUGGGCACUAGGUGUGGGGGACAUUCCACGUUUUCCGCGCCGUAGCUAACGCAUUAAGUGCCCGCCUGGGGNGACGCGCGAGAAGUAACUACAANAGUAGUUGAGNGNGNGNGNGCGAGCGACGACGAGGAGAG
rnacentral:rRNA from 1 species